rnacentral:rRNA from 1 species
UAACUGAAGAGUUUGAUCAUGGCUCAGAUUGAACGCUGGCGGCAGGCUUAACACAUGCAAGUCGAGCGGGGGAAGGUAG